rnacentral:rRNA from 1 species
AGAGUUUGAUCCUGGCUCAGGAUGAACGCUGGCGGUCUGCUUAACACAUGCAAGUCGAACGGAAGUCUUCGGACUUUAGUGGCGGACGGGUGAGUAACGCGUGAGAAUCUGCCUUCAGGUUGGGGACAACAGUUGGAAACGACUGCUAAUACCCAAUGUGCCGAGAGGUGAAAGCUUUAGUGCCUGAGGAUGAGCUCGCGUCUGAUUAGCUAGUUGGAGUGGUAAUGGCACACCAAGGCGACGAUCAGUAGCUGGUCUGAGAGGAUGGCCAGCCACAUUGGGACUGAGACACGGCCCAAACUCCUACGGGAGGCAGCAGUGGGGAAUCUUGCGCAAUGGGCGAAAGCCUGACGCAGCCAUGCCGCGUGGAUGAUGAAGGUCUUAGGAUUGUAAAAUCCUUUCAGCGGGGACGAUAAUGACGGUACCCGCAGAAGAAGCCCCGGCUAACUUCGUGCCAGCAGCCGCGGUAAUACGAAGGGGGCUAGCGUUGCUCGGAUUUACUGGGCGUAAAGGGCGCGUAGGCGGACAGUUAAGUUGGGGGUGAAAGCCCGGGGCUCAACCUCGGAAUUGCCUUCAAUACUGGCUGUCUUGAGUGUGAGAGAGGUGUGUGGAACUCCGAGUGUAGAGGUGAAAUUCGUAGAUAUUCGGAAGAACACCAGUGGCGAAGGCGACACACUGGCUCACUACUGACGCUGAGGCGCGAAAGCGUGGGGAGCAAACAGGAUUAGAUACCCUGGUAGUCC